AGGGUGACCGAUGUGACCUCUCCUGGAAGGUUUUCAGGAUGCACGUGUUGACUUUUGACUUCCAAGUCCCAAAGCUCGUUUCAGUAGUUCCAGGCGGUUAUGACGGUGGCUCGCUGGCCUGAAUGAUCUUAAUCACGAAAGCACUUGUGUACAGCUUUAUAAUUCGACGUCUGUGUGCACUACACAGCGCUCCCCGCCACCGCCUGCUUCCCACCCUCACCGCGCCGCCCACGCGCGGUGGUCAGCUGGCCGGCCGGCGCCGCUGGCUGGUGGCCUCCCCGAGACACGCAGGCACCGAGACUUCCGUGGGGACCGAGGCGUCCGGGUCCUGCCCCUCACUCCUCCCCCUGCUCGUGGCCCCGACGGACCAGGCACACGGAUUCACCUGUGGAAGCCACAGAACAUUUGUGGCCCAAGAAGAUUCAAGCGACAGCAAAAUGAAGACUAAUCAAGUCAGGGGACGCUUCCUUUUCCUACAACCAGACUCCAGUACCCCAGAAUCUGUGUUUGUGAAAACUCCAGAGGAAGACAAACAACACUCCCUCCAGUGCUCCCCUCUUGCCUCGUCCCCCUAAAGUCUUUCCAUUUUCUUGCCGUGUCCCCCUGUUCCCUCUGUAGAAGCCAGCACAGUUUCUGCGGCCGGCGAGUGGGCAGGCAGGGGGGCUGACGGAGACAGGGGAAGGCACCUACCUGAGGCUUCCUUCUUGUGAAGAGGACUCGAGGCCUUCCGGCCCUCUGGGACCAGCUCCUCUGGACAAAGAUGGCGGGCCUGGGCUUCCUUUGGCUUGGUGCCGGGUGUAUACAAACACGGCAGAUUACCACGGGUCCCAGUUCAUCGGAUAUAUUCCUGGGGUGGGAGCAGCCUCGUUGGGCUUCCAGAAAACUCACCCAAGGAAGAAAAGCUCGCUCUGAGACAGAUGAGGCUGAGGAGAUGGGUUUUGUGCCUGUUUUUCUUGCGCCCAUUGUGUGUUUGCACAAGCCAAGCAAACCCCCUUGUGAAUCAUUUUGAUCCUCGCAAACUCUCGGCACAGCUCUCAAAAUUGCCCAAGGACCUUUCCAUCAGUUCAAAGAAAAAAUGUGUUGUUUUAGUCUAGCAACGUAUCUCUUUAUAGCCACAGAUUAUCACAGCAUGGAGGGAGCAUUGCACACCUGCAGGGAGGGGGCGGGGCGCCUGG